UAUCCGUAGGGGAACCUGCGGAUGGAUCAUUAACAUAUUUAUUAUCCUUUAAUAACUAUUAUAACUGUUGAAGUUUUGUUAUUCUUUUUUAUUAAAGAACAACAUACUUUUUACUUAUAAACUAUAAAUUCCAUUAUAUCUAAUUUAUUAUACUUGUAUAACAAUAUAUAAGUAUUUAAUUAUUAAAAUGUGAAACAACCUUUAACAAUGGAUAUCUAGGUUCUCGCAUCGAUGAAGAACGCAGU
rnacentral:misc_RNA from 1 species